UACGAAGGGGGCGAGCGUUGUUCGGAUUUACUGGGCGUAAAGGGCGCGUAGGCGGCCCUCCUUGUCGCGUGUGAAAGCCCCGGGCUCAACCUGGGAAUUGCGCGCGAAACGGGGGGGCUUGAGUUCGGGAGAGGAGCGUGGAAUUCCCAGUGUAGAGGUGAAAUUCGUAGAUAUUGGGAAGAACACCGGUGGCGAAGGCGGCGCUCUGGACCGAGACUGACGCUGAGGCGCGAAGGUCAGGGGAGCAAACGGG
rnacentral:rRNA from 1 species